rnacentral:rRNA from 1 species
AGCAGCCGCGGUAAUUCCAGCUCCAAUAGCGUAUAUUAAAGUUGUUGCAGUUAAAAAGCUCGUAGUUGGAUUUCGGGAUUGACACAUCGGUCGUGCCUUAAGGGGUGUGAACUGGUGUAGUCAAUUUCUCACCUUCUGGAGAACCGCGAUGCCCUUAAUUGGGUGUCACGGGGAACCAGGACCUUUACUUUGAAAAAUUAGAGUGUUUAAAGCAGGCAUUUUGCUUGAAUACAUUAGCAUGGAAUAAUAAAAUAGGACGGCAUGAUUCUAUUUUGUUGGUUUCUAGGAUCACCGUAAUGAUUAAUAGGGAUAGUUGGGGGCAUUAGUACUCAAUUGUCAGAGGUGAAAUUCUUGGAUUUAUUGAAGACUAACUACUGCGAAAGCAUUUGCCAAGGAUGUUUUCAUUAAUCAAGAACGAAAGUUAGGGGACCGAAGACGAUCAGAUACCGU